AGACAUUAUUCAUCCGUGCUGGGCUUGUACAUACUGUACUGUACAUGAUUGUAACUUAGUCUUUUAGUCUGUCUGUAAUCAAUAAGCAUUCAUAAGAUGUUUUACACAGCACGACAUACGAUGUCGUUUUUCAGUUACGAAGAAAUUUUGGUCUGUUAGCAAAAAUUCAUUCCCAUUGUUAUAUGUACUAACUACUAAUCCCGUAAUCCGUUAUAGUAAGCCUGAGGUCCUGCACAAUUACUUGUUGUUUUAUACCGAGCAAUUUCGUGUACUAAUCAUACGGUAGUUUUUGUGCUCGUAUCGGUGGAAGUGUCUGUACCAUCCCCGAAUCUUUACAGGAUGUUUUUUUUGCGAUUGAUUAUUGGGAUCCGAGUGCGAACACGCUAACAGCUGAUAAUGGAGUAUCAAUAAUUUUAUGUCACCGCUGCUGAUAACACUCCUGAUAGCGAUACUGUACUACAGUCAACGAGAUCGUCACACCACUGCAUGCGACCGUGCACGGUGAUCCAACUGUUCUGCAGCAGUGCAAGUCUGCAGUCCGCAAUGCCUGUCAGUUUUUCGUAUCGGUUCCUUCGAGCCCGUCACGCAUUUGCGCGAACUUUAUUGCCAUUGGCGAACGUAGCAUCCGGAGAAAUGUCCAGCGCAAACCAUAAUGUCCGGCUGUUUAGCCAGGAUGCAUGCGAGCAUGAAGAACCAAAAACGGACUUCUUCAUGCUGCACAACGGCGACAAAUUGGCGUAUAAACGCACGCACGGAUCCAACCUACCCGGAGUUAUUUUCCUACCCGGGUUUCUAUCCAAUAUGACUGGCGAAAAGGCCAAAAUACUGGAGAGAUAUUGCAAAAUUUACGAUCAUCCCUACAUCAGAUUUGAUUAUCGUGCAUGCGGAGAAUCCUCCGGUAAGCUGGAUGCCAUGACUCUGCACGAAUGGCUGGAUGAUGUCUUGACUGUGGUGGAUACUUUCACCAAUCCUGGUGAACCGCAGAUCUUGGUCGGAUCCAGCAUGGGAGGCGGAUUAAUGAUGCACGUUGCGCUGAAGCGACCGGAGCGUGUUUUUGGUCUAGUUGGAGUUGCUGCAGCCAUUGACCGGUGGACUGAUUUGGAGAAAAAUCUUUCGCCAGAGCACCGGGCUCUUCUGGACGCCGACAAGGCUGUAAUUGGACCGUGGGGUGAUUUUCCAAUCCGCAGAGCCUUCUUGGACUCAUUAUCAUCGCUAUCCCAAAGCGUAUACACCAACCAAACAAUUCCGAUCCGAUGUGCGGUCAGAUUACUCCACGGUGUCAAAGACGACGUGAUAUCGUACUCGGAUUCCAGCCAGAUUAUGAAUAAACUGGAAUCUUCCGAUGUGCAGGUGCUAAUAUCGAAAUCCGCCGACCACCGCUUCUCCAAGCCACAGGACUUGCAGAUGCUCGUCAAUUGUGUGGAUCAGUUGGUGAAGCAGUAUGAAAGUCCACUUUAGUGGGUGGUGACACACCCUCUGCCAAAACAGAUCAAAUGAUUAAACUGUGCGUGCAUUACCGUGAAUUCGUGAACGUGUUGGCCGCUUGAUUGCGACGAAGGAUAUCUGAUCGCCUUUUGUGACGCUUGUCCGCACAUCCAUGAGCAUGCAUAUUUGUUUGCCUAUGUGAAAGUUCGACGGCUUGGGUAAAGCCUAAACCAGCUGGUAUUUUGAUUCCGUCGGUGAUUACGCU